rnacentral:rRNA from 1 species
GACGAACGCUGGCGGCGUGCUUAACACAUGCAAGUCGAACGGUAAGGCCCUUCGGGGUACACGAGUGGCGAACGGGUGAGUAACACGUGGGUGAUCUGUCCUGCACUUCGGGAUAAGCCUGGGAAACUGGGUCUAAUACCGGAUAGGACCACUGCCUGCAUGGGUGGUGGUGGAAAGCUUUUGCGGUGUGGGAUGGGCCCGCGGCCUUUCAGCUUGUUGGUGGGGUGAUGGCCUACCAAGGCGACGACGGGUAGCCGGCCUGAGAGGGUGACCGGCCACACUGGGACUGAGAUACGGCCCAGACUCCUACGGGAGGCAGCAGUGGGGAAUAUUGCACAAUGGGCGCAAGCCUGAUGCAGCGACGCCGCGUGAGGGAUGACGGCCUUCGGGUUGUAAACCUCUUUCAGCACCGACGAAGCGCAAGUGACGGUAGGUGCAGAAGAAGGACCGGCCAACUACGUGCCAGCCGCCGCGGUAA